GCUGGGUGUGGUGGCUCACACCUGUAAUCCCAGAACUUUGGGAGGCUGAGGCAGGUGGAUCACCUGAGGUCAGGAGUUUGAGACCAGCCUGACCAACAUGGUGAAACCCUGUCUCUA
rfam:Homo sapiens chromosome 3, GRCh38 reference primary assembly.